GGGGUUGUGGCUCAGCGGCAGAGCGCCCACCUAGCACGUGUGAGGCCCUGGGUUCGAUUCCCAGCACCA
rfam:Ictidomys tridecemlineatus contig103717, whole genome shotgun sequence.